AUGCAAGUCGAGCGGAAACGAGUUAUCUGAACCUUCGGGGGACGAUAACGGCGUCGAGCGGCGGACGGGUGAGUAAUGCCUAGGAAAUUGCCCUGAUGUGGGGGAUAACCAUUGGAAACGAUGGCUAAUACCGCAUGAUGCCUACGGGCCAAAGAGGGGGACCUUCGGGCCUCUCGCGUCAGGAUAUGCCUAGGUGGGAUUAGCUAGUUGGUGAGGUAAGGGCUCACCAAGGCGACGAUCCCUAGCUGGUCUGAGAGGAUGAUCAGCCACACUGGAACUGAGACACGGUCCAGACUCCUACGGGAGGCAGCAGUGGGGAAUAUUGCACAAUGGGCGCAAGCCUGAUGCAGCCAUGCCGCGUGUGUGAAGAAGGCCUUCGGGUUGUAAAGCACUUUCAGUCGUGAGGAAGGUAGUGUAGUUAAUAGCUGCAUUAUUUGACGUUAGCGACAGAAGAAGCACCGGCUAACUCCGUGCCAGCAGCCGCGGUAAUACGGAGGGUGCGAGCGUUAAUCGGAAUUACUGGGCGUAAAGCGCAUGCAGGUGGUUUGUUAAGUCAGAUGUGAAAGCCCGGGGCUCAACCUCGGAAUUGCAUUUGAAACUGGCAGACUAGAGUACUGUAGAGGGGGGUAGAAUUUCAGGUGUAGCGGUGAAAUGCGUAGAGAUCUGAAGGAAUACCGGUGGCGAAGGCGGCCCCCUGGACAGAUACUGACACUCAGAUGCGAAAGCGUGGGGAGCAAACAGGAUUAGAUACCCUGGUAGUCCACGCCGUAAACGAUGUCUACUUGGAGGUUGUGGCCUUGAGCCGUGGCUUUCGGAGCUAACGCGUUAAGUAGACCGCCUGGGGAGUACGGUCGCAAGAUUAAAACUCAAAUGAAUUGACGGGGGCCCGCACAAGCGGUGGAGCAUGUGGUUUAAUUCGAUGCAACGCGAAGAACCUUACCUACUCUUGACAUCCAGAGAACUUUCCAGAGAUGGAUUGGUGCCUUCGGGAACUCUGAGACAGGUGCUGCAUGGCUGUCGUCAGCUC
rnacentral:rRNA from 1 species